UCACUUUUACUUGAGACAUUUUCUAUUAACAUAUCUUUACUUUUACUCAAGAAUGACAAUUGGGUACUUUUUCAACCACUGUUCAAGAAGUUUAGCACCCAAUACCCAACAUUCACUUGGUGGCUUGAAGUAGGAGUGCUGAACUAGGAUCUGUUUAGCAUUUGUGAGUAGAAUGAAUAACAUUACUUUGACGGGGUGUGGGGGGUACUGAUUCCAGUUCAGCAUUCUUAGCCUGAGACAUUUCAUAAAUGCGUACAGAGGAGCACUUUUCUACGAUCAGCUUUGCCUAGAUCAUUCUGAAUCAGUUGUCUCUGGAAUAACUUUAUAUGGACAGCGGUGGGUUUGUUUGUAGAUCAGCACUCCUUCUCAACACCAGUUGCUGUACCCUAACAUUUUAGUAUCCAAUUUCCCUUAAUGUCUAUGUCCUUCCGGAACCCCACCUCAACAUUGUUCUGUCAAGGCAACAAAAGCAAGUUGGCAUGCUCUUGAAAUGAAUUUAACUCACAACCUCUCCUUUGGGAAUUCACCACCAUAUCUACAACUAUUUUUAAACUAUCUUAACAUGUGGCUUUCUUCAGGCGGACCAAGACUAGGAACACUUUUGAAUGGUCUACAAAGAAUGGCCCCAGGUAAAAGUUGGCUUUUGCAGAGUAUGUUUGUAUUGUUACUCCACAGCAUAGUAUGCUAUCACAACUCUACUGAAAUGACAUUUGAAACAAGGUGUCACUUCACCUACAUACCUCUGGUUUGCUCUUUCAGACCCACAAAGGCAACAAGAAAGAAGUUGAUACAUUAACUGUUUCUCUGGGAUUUGAACUAGGGGGGUACAUACCUCAAGUUAGCUCUUUCAUGCCAACAAAGGUCAACGUCAAAAAUGGCUCUCUUCAGAUUUGAACUCUCAAACUCUGGUUUGGGGAGCAAACGCCAUAACCACUACUCUACCACAGAGACAGACACUAGAUGUUAAGGGGUACUUCAGAAUGCACACAUCAAAUACAACAUUUCAGAGGUUAGAGAAUGGUGUGGGGGCUUGUACUUCUUGGGUCCACCAACCGUUCCUCAAUCUUCUUUUGAUGACUACAAACAGAGAUUAUGAAUCUUCAAAACCUACACUAUAGGAUGGAUGUGUUUAGGAACAGGGGACGAAAUUCGAAAGAGGCGUAUUUCCAAUUACCAACAAAUAGACCCUAGAAAUGUUAUUCCAAAAUCUUAAUAUUGGAACUUUGGCCCUUCAUUUGCCUACUACUGCCUAUAAGCUAUCAUAACACGUGGGUUUUUUCUUGGGGACAAGGUAUCGGAACGCUUUUGAAUGGUCUACAAAGCAUGCCCCCAGGUCAAAGUUGGCUUUUGCAGACAAGGAUAAUAUAUUGUUACUCCACGGCAUAGUAUGUUAUCACAACUCUAUUAAAAGGACAUUCUAUACAAGGUGUCACUUCCGUCCUUCUAUUUGAUGGGAACUACCCCUACCCCCCAACAAACCUCAAGUUAGCUCUUUCAUGCCAACAAAAGGCAACAUCAGAAAUGUUUCUCUAAAAAAAAUCUCUCCUCAGAUUUGAACUCUCAAACUCUGGUUUGGGGAGCAAACACCAUAACCACUACUCUACUAGACAUGCUAUAACCACUUCUUUUCACAUGCUAUAACCUAACAACCUUAUUCUAAAAUCGAUUACCUUAAUAUUUUCCCUCAAUCUACACACAUUACCCUAUGAUCACAAAGUGAAUAUUGGGUUUAUACAUUUUAGCAAAUUAUUUACAAAUUAAAAAACAGAAAUACCUUAUUUACAUAAUGAUUCUUCCCCUUUGCAAUGAGUCUCAAAUUGAGCUCAGGUGCAUCCUGUUUCCAUUGAUCAUCCUAGAGCUGUUUCUACAACUUCAUUGGAGUACAGCUAUGGUAAAUGCAAUUGAUUUGACAUGAUUUGGAAAGGCACACACCUGUCUAUAUAAGGUCCCACAGUUGACAGUGCAUGCCAGGGCAAAAACCAAGCCAAAUCAAAUCAAAUUUUAUUUGUCACAUGCGGCAAAUACAACAGCUGUGGACCUUACCGUGAAGGUCUUACUUACAAGCCCAAACCCAACAAUGCAGGUCAAGAAAUAGAGUUAAGAAAUUGUUUCCUAAGUAAACUAAAGUCAAAAAAAUGUAUAAAUCCAUAAGUAACACAAGACAAUUACAUAACAAUAACGAGGCUAUAUAAAUGGGGUACCGGUACCGAGUCAAUGUGCGGGGGUACAGGUUAGUUGAGGUCAUUUGUAAAGUGACUUUGCAGUUAUAAUUAACAGUGAGUAGCAGCAGUGUAAAAACACUGGGGGGGUGGGGGGCUCUUUGACUAUUUUUUGGCCCUUCCUGUGACAACGCUUAAUAUAUAGGUCCUUGAUGUCAGGAAGCUUUGCCCCAGUGAUGUACUGGGCCGUACGCAUUAUGGCCAGAUGCCCAGCAGUUGCCGUACCAGGCAACCUCUCAGGAUGCUCUCGAUGGUGCAGCUGUAGAACUUUUUGAGGAUCUGGGGAUCCAUGCUAAAUAUUGUCAGUCUCCUGAGGGGGAAAGGUUUUGUCGUGCCCUCUUCACAACUGUGUUGGUGUGUUUCGACCAUGAUAGUUUGUUGGUGAUGUGGACACCAAGGAACUUGGAACUCUCGACUCACUCCACUUCAGCCCUGUCGAUGUUAAUGGGGGCCUGUUCGGCCCUCCUUUUCCUAAAGUCCAUGAUCAGCCCCUUUGUCUUGCUCACAUUGAGGGAGAGGUUGUUGUCAUCAGGCCAGGAAGUCCUGAGGCAUGGUUCCAGGGCUCAGGUCCUCUGGGAGGGGGGGAGAGGGAGAGAGAAUUAGAGGGUGCAUGAGACAGGAGAAAUACUCCAGAUAUAACAGAUUGACCCUAGCCCUCUGACACAAACUUUUGCAGCAUAAAUACUGGAGGCUGAGAUACGAGGCGUAGGGAGACACUGUAGCCAUGUCCAAUGAUUCCCCCGGACAGGGCCUAUGAAUCCCCCGGACAGGGCCUAUGAAUCCCCCGGACAGGGCCUAUGAAUCCCCCGGACAGGGCCUAUGAAUCCCCCGGACAGGGCCUAUGAAUCCCCCGGACAGGGCCUAUGAUCUAGUGGACCCUACCAGAAAACAUUUAGUUACUUUUUGCAUUUAUUAUGCUUUAAGUGUUACAUAUACACAAGAACAACACAUUUCUCAAUUUUGGUGAAAGUUGGCCAUUAGCUAACCACAACUGUCCUGUCAAAUACAUUCAUGACCUACAACUUGAUGAUCUGACAGUGUGGGGUAGAGAAAUUCCAACUAACGGAUGAAAAAUUAACCAGGUUCUUUCUGUGUAUGUCAUGUAUUGUCAUGUUGUGUCUUGUUUCUGUCCUUUCCUUUCACCCUGUCUCCCUCUGCUGGUCGUACUAGGUUACCGUUUCUGUCCCUCUUUCCCCCAGCUGUUCCUUGUCUUCUCUGACUACCUCAUUCACCCCUUUUCCCACCUGUUCCCUUUUUCCCUCUGAUUAGGUCCCUAUAUCUCUCUCUGUUUCUGCUCCUGUCUUUGUCGGAUUCUUGUUUGUGUGUCUCAUGCCUGAACCAGACUAUCAUCGUGUUUGCUGCAACCUUGUCCUGUCCUGUCAGAAUCUACCUGUCCAUCUGAGCCCACGUGUGUUCAUCAUUAAAGAAACUCUGUUUGUUAAUUCGCUUUUGGGUCCUCAUUCACGCACCUG
ensembl:lncRNA